AUGCAAGUCGAACGGUGAACACGGAGCUUGCUCUGUGGGAUCAGUGGCGAACGGGUGAGUAACACGUGAGCAACCUGCCCCUGACUCUGGGAUAAGCGCUGGAAACGGCGUCUAAUACUGGAUACGAGACGUGAUCGCAUGGUCAACGUCUGGAAAGAAUUUCGGUUGGGGAUGGGCUCGCGGCCUAUCAGCUUGUUGGUGAGGUAAUGGCUCACCAAGGCGUCGACGGGUAGCCGGCCUGAGAGGGUGACCGGCCACACUGGGACUGAGACACGGCCCAGACUCCUACGGGAGGCAGCAGUGGGGAAUAUUGCACAAUGGGCGCAAGCCUGAUGCAGCAACGCCGCGUGAGGGAUGACGGCCUUCGGGUUGUAAACCUCUUUUAGCAGGGAAGAAGCGAAAGUGACGGUACCUGCAGAAAAAGCGCCGGCUAACUACGUGCCAGCAGCCGCGGUAAUACGUAGGGCGCAAGCGUUAUCCGGAAUUAUUGGGCGUAAAGAGCUCGUAGGCGGUUUGUCGCGUCUGCUGUGAAAUCCCGAGGCUCAACCUCGGGCCUGCAGUGGGUACGGGCAGACUAGAGUGCGGUAGGGGAGAUUGGAAUUCCUGGUGUAGCGGUGGAAUGCGCAGAUAUCAGGAGGAACACCGAUGGCGAAGGCAGAUCUCUGGGCCGUAACUGACGCUGAGGAGCGAAAGGGUGGGGAGCAAACAGGCUUAGAUACCCUGGUAGUCCACCCCGUAAACGUUGGGAACUAGUUGUGGGGUCCAUUCCACGGAUUCCGUGACGCAGCUAACGCAUUAAGUUCCCCGCCUGGGGAGUACGGCCGCAAGGCUAAAACUCAAAGGAAUUGACGGGGACCCGCACAAGCGGCGGAGCAUGCGGAUUAAUUCGAUGCAACGCGAAGAACCUUACCAAGGCUUGACAUAUACGAGAACGGGCCAGAAAUGGUCAACUCUUUGGACACUCGUAAACAGGUGGUGCAUGGUUGUCGUCAGCUCGUGUCGUGAGAUGUUGGGUUAAGUCCCGCAACGAGCGCAACCCUCGUUCUAUGUUGCCAGCACGUAAUGGUGGGAACUCAUGGGAUACUGCCGGGGUCA
rnacentral:rRNA from 1 species